GUACGUAGGGGGCAAGCGUUGUCCGGAAUUACUGGGCGUAAAGGGUGCGUAGGCGGCCAGGCAAGUCCGAUGUGAAAUACCACGGCUAAACUGUGGGGGUGCAUAGGAAACUGUCUGGCUUGAGUGCAGGAGAGGAAAGUGGAAUUCCUGGUGUAGCGGUGAAAUGCGUAGAGAUCAGGAAGAACACCAGUGGCGAAGGCGACUUUCUGGACUGUAACUGGCGCUGAGGCACGAAAGCGUGGGGAGCAAACAGGAUUAGAUACCCUGGUAGUCCACGCCGUAAACGAUGGAUACUAGGUGUAGGGGGUAUCGACCCCCCCUGUGCCGGAGUUAACGCAAUAAGUAUCCCGCCUGGGGAGUACGGCCGCAAGGUUGAA
rnacentral:rRNA from 1 species